rnacentral:rRNA from 1 species
AGCGAACGCUGGCGGCAGGCCUAAUACAUGCAAGUCGAGCGGCCCUUCGGGGCAGCGGCGGACGGGUGAGUAACGCGUGGGAAUAUGCCCUUUGGUACGGAACAACUGAGGGAAACUUCAGCUAAUACCGUAUGUGCCCUUCGGGGGAAAGAUUUAUCGCCAUUGGAGUAGCCCGCGUUGGAUUAGGUAGUUGGUGAGGU